AGGUCUUGGUCUUAAACCUCACGUUAUCUCACCCCAUACCCAUACAUGCAAGCCUCACCACCACGGUGAAACAGCCUAACACUAACAAACAGAGCCGGCAUCAGGUAAACAACCCAUGACACCAAGCAACAGCCACACCCCCACGGGCCUGCAGCAGUACUUAAUAUUGGGCAAUAAGCGCAAGCUUGACCUAAUAAUGGGCUCAUAGGGCCGGUUAAUCUCGUGCCAGCGACCGCGGUUAUACGACAGACCCAAGACAACGUCACCGGCGUAAAGCACGACUAAAAAACAGUAACUAUUUUAGGACUGAGAAUUAAGCUGGGCUGUAAAAAGCCAUAAGCCACACAAAUCACCCCCCCCUAAAAAUUUAAACCGAUUCAACUCGUGAAAGCAGGGAAACAAACUAAGAUUAGAUACCUUACUAUGCCCCGCUGUAACUCAGCAAUCAAAUUAACAAUUGCUCGCCAAAUAACUACGAGUGCAAACUUAAAAUUUAAAAGACUUGACGGUACUUCACAACAGCCUAGAGGAGCCUGUCUAAUAACCGAUAAUCCACGAUUAACCCCACCCGUUUUUGCCCAACAGUCUAUAUACCGCCGUCGCCAGCUUACCUUGUGAAAGAAACAAAGCAAGCUAAAUAGUACCGCACCAACACGACAGGUCGAGGUGUAACAAAUAAACGGGUCAAAGAUGGGCUACAUUUUCUUAAUAAGAAAAAACGGACAAAGCAUGAAAUAACAACCUGAAGGCGGAUUUAGCAGUAAGAUAAAGACAGAAUACCUAUCUGAAAUCAAUGCAAUGAAGUGCGUACACACCGCCCGUCAUCCCUGUAAAAACAACACUAACAUUCAUAAACACACACACCCCUUAAAGCAGGGCAAGUCGUAACACGGUAAGCGUACUGGAAAGUGUGCUUA
rnacentral:ncRNA from 1 species